GACGAACGCUGGCGGCGUGCCUAAUACAUGCAAGUAGAACGCACAGUUUAUACCGUAGCUUGCUACACCAUAAACUGUGAGUUGCGAACGGGUGAGUAACGCGUAGGUAACCUGCCUGGUAGCGGGGGAUAACUAUUGGAAACGAUAGCUAAUACCGCAUAAUAUUAAUUAUUGCAUGAUAAUUGAUUGAAAGAUGCAAUUGCAUCACUACCAGAUGGACCUGCGUUGUAUUAGCUAGUAGGUGAGGUAACGGCUCACCUAGGCGACGAUACAUAGCCGACCUGAGAGGGUGAUCGGCCACACUGGGACUGAGACACGGCCCAGACUCCUACGGGAGGCAGCAGUAGGGAAUCUUCGGCAAUGGACGAAAGUCUGACCGAGCAACGCCGCGUGAGUGAAGAAGGGUUUCGGAUCGUAAAGCUCUGUUGUAAGAGAAGAACGGGUGUGAGAGUGGAAAGUUCACACUGUGACGGUAUCCUACCAGAAAGGGACGGCUAACUACGUG
rnacentral:rRNA from 1 species